AUUGAACGCUGGUGGCAUGCUUUACACAUGCAAGUCGAACGGCAGCGCGGGCUUCGGCCUGGCGGCGCGUGGCGAACGGGUGAGUAAUGCAUCGGAACGUGCCCAGCAGUGGGGGAUAGCCCGGCGAAAGCCGGAUUAAUACCGCAUACGACCUGAGGGUGAAAGCGGGGGACCGAAAGGCCUCGCGCUAUUGGAGCGGUCGAUGUCGGAUUAGCUAGUUGGUGGGGUAAAGGCUUACCAAGGCGACGAUCCGUAGCUGGUCUGAGAGGACGACCAGCCACCCUGGGGCUGGGCCGCGGCCCAGGCUCCUACGGGAGGCCGCAGUGGGGAAUGUUGGGCAAUGGGGGCAACCCUGAUCCAGCCGUGCCGCGUGCGGGAAGAAGGCCUUCGGGUUGUAAACCGCUUUUGUUGGGGAAGAAAUCCUCUGGGCUAAUACCCCGGGGGGAUGACGGUACCGGAAGAAUAAGCACCGGCUAACUACGUG
rnacentral:rRNA from 1 species